AGAUAGUGAGGGUGACUGGCUGCAACAUUGGUUACCCCACUGAUUGCCAGGGUUGAUCUGGCUGACUUGCCAGGAGUCCCCUGACUCCCUCACCACUCAGUGUGCUCCUCCUCUCCCAAAGCAGUGAGCUCAGUGGAAGAGGACGGAUAUCCCAAAUGGAGAGGUAAGGAUUCUGCUGCAU